AUUGAACGCUGGCGGCAUGCCUUACACAUGCAAGUCGAACGGUAACGGGCCUUCGGGUGCCGACGAGUGGCGAACGGGUGAGUAAUACAUCGGAACGUGCCCGAUCGUGGGGGAUAACGAGGCGAAAGCUUUGCUAAUACCGCAUACGAUCUACGGAUGACAGCAGGGGACCGCAAGGCCUUGCGCGGACGGAGCGGCCGAUGGCAGAUUAGGUAGUUGGUGGGAUAAAAGCUUACCAAGCCGACGAUCUGUAGCUGGUCUGAGAGGAUGAUCAGCCACACUGGGACUGAGACACGGCCCAGACUCCUACGGGAGGCAGCAGUGGGGAAUUUUGGACAAUGGGCGCAAGCCUGAUCCAACCAUGCCGCGUGCAGGAUGAAGGCCUUCGGGUUGUAAACUGCUUUUGUACGGAACGAAAAGCCUUCUUUUAAUACAGGAGGGUCAUGACGGUACCGUAAGAAUAAGCACCGGCUAACUACGUG
rnacentral:rRNA from 1 species